AGAGUUUGAUCCUGGCUCAGGACGAACGCUGGCGGCGCGCCUAACACAUGCAAGUCGAACGAGAGAGAGGGAGCUUGCUUCCUUGAUCGAGUGGCGAACGGGUGAGUAACGCGUGAGGAACCUGCCUCAAAGAGGGGGACAACAGUUGGAAACGACUGCUAAUACCGCAUAAGCCCACGGCUCGGCAUCGAGCAGAGGGAAAAGGAGCAAUCCGCUUUGAGAUGGCCUCGCGUCCGAUUAGCUAGUUGGUGAGGUAACGGCCCACCAAGGCGACGAUCGGUAGCCGGACUGAGAGGUUGAACGGCCACAUUGGGACUGAGACACGGCCCAGACUCCUACGGGAGGCAGCAGUGGGGAAUAUUGCACAAUGGGGGAAACCCUGAUGCAGCGACGCCGCGUGGAGGAAGAAGGUCUUCGGAUUGUAAACUCCUGUUGUUGAGGAAGAUAAUGACGGUACUCAACAAGGAAGUGACGGCUAACUACGUGCCAGCAGCCGCGGUAAAACGUAGGUCACAAGCGUUGUCCGGAAUUACUGGGUGUAAAGGGAGCGCAGGCGGGAAGACAAGUUGGAAGUGAAAUCCAUGGGCUCAACCCAUGAACUGCUUUCAAAACUGUUUUUCUUGAGUAGUGCAGAGGUAGGCGGAAUUCCCGGUGUAGCGGUGGAAUGCGUAGAUAUCGGGAGGAACACCAGUGGCGAAGGCGGCCUACUGGGCACCAACUGACGCUGAGGCUCGAAAGUGUGGGUAGCAAACAGGAUUAGAUACCCUGGUAGUCCACACCGUAAACGAUGAUUACUAGGUGUUGGAGGAUUGACCCCUUCAGUGCCGCAGUUAACACAAUAAGUAAUCCACCUGGGGAGUACGACCGCAAGGUUGAAACUCAAAGGAAUUGACGGGGGCCCGCACAAGCAGUGGAGUAU
rnacentral:rRNA from 1 species